UACGGGGGGGGCAAGCGUUGUUCGGAAUUACUGGGCGUAAAGGGCUCGUAGGUGGCCAACUAAGUCAGACGUGAAAUCCCUCGGCUUAACCGGGGAACUGCGUCUGAUACUGGAUGGCUUGAGUUUGGGAGAGGAAUGCGGAAUUCCAGGCGUAGCGGUGAAAUGCGUAGAUAUCUGGAGGAACACCGGUGGCGAAGGCGGCAUUCUGGACCAAUACUGACGCUGAGGAGCGAAAGCCAGGGGAGCAAACGGG
rnacentral:rRNA from 1 species